rnacentral:rRNA from 1 species
AUAAACGCUGGCGGCGUGCAUAACACCUGCAAGUCGAACGAUGAAGAUUAAAAGAUUUCUUCGGAAUGAACUUAAUUGGAUUAGUGGCGGACGGGUGAGUAACGCGUGAGUAACCUGCCUUGUACAAGGGGAUAGCCGUUGGAAACGACGAAUAAUACCCUAUGACAUCAAAUAAUCGCAUGAUAAUUUGAUCAAAGAUUUAUCGGUAUAAGAUGGACUCGCGUCUGAUUAGCUAGUUGGUAGAGUAAAAGCCUACCAAGGCAACGAUCAGUAGCCGGCUUGAGAGAGUGUACGGCCACAUUGGGACUGAGACACGGCCCAGACUCCUACGGGAGGCAGCAGUGGGGAAUUUUGCACAAUGGGGGAAACCCUGAUGCAGCGACGCCGCGUGAUUUAGAAGGCCUUCGGGUUGUAAAAAUCUUUUGUAUGGGAAGAAAAUGACAGUACCAUACGAAUAAGGACCGGCUAAUUACGUG